AGGCCGUGUAUUUGCUAGGAAAGUAAGUAUUUGAGAUGACUGCGCCGGAUUUAGGAUCCGGUUCCCUCGGGAGUGAAGGUUCGACUCCUUUCGCGCGUA
rnacentral:tRNA from 2 species